CGCGUAGGCGGCCUCUUAAGUCAGAUGUGAAAGCCCGGGGCUUAACCCCGGAAGUGCAUUUGAAACUAAGGGGCUUGAGUAUGGGAGAGGGAAGUGGAAUUCCUGGUGUAGAGGUGAAAUUCGUAGAUAUCAGGAGGAACACCGGUGGCGAAGGCGACUUCCUGGACCAAUACUGACGCUGAGGCGCGAAGGCGUGGGGAGCAAACAGGAUUAGAUACCCCUGGUAGUCC
rnacentral:rRNA from 1 species